rnacentral:miRNA from 1 species
AACUGCGGCAUCGUAACUGAC